ensembl:lncRNA
CCAGACAAGUGAACUUGACAGUGAAAACUGCCCAAAAACGAUAAUACUUCCUGAGGAGACUCAAGAAAUUUGGCAAACUCUCACCAACUUCUGCAGGUGCACCAUUGAAAGCAUCCUCUCAGGCUGCAUUACUGCCUGGUACAGCAGCUGCUCCAAUGCAGACCGCAGGUCCCUCCAGAGAGUGGUAAAGUCUGCGGAGCGCAUCAUCGGAUGCCAUCUGCCCUCCGUGCAAGAAAUCGAGACUCAUCAGACCAGGCAACAUUCUUCCAGUCUUCAACUGUCCAAUUUUGGGAGGGCUGGUGUUUUUGGUCCGUGCCAUCCUGGACUAGCGUGGUCGGUUGGGGGGUCUCCAGUACCUCGCGGAUUGGGAGGGGUACGGUCUAGAGGAGCGGUGCUGGGUUCCGGCGAGGGACGACAUCGAUCCCUCCUAGCUCUGAGAUUUCCACCGUCGGCGUCUGGAGAGCCCUGCGCCACGCCCUGUCGUCCAUGGUGGCGGUCGACGUCACCGGCCUUCUAGCUGCCACCGUCCCUGAUCUCAUUCAUUAUCCAUUCCUGGUCUGGGUUUUGCUUUGUCCCCAUCUACACACCUAGUUACCAUUAGUCGUUAUAUGUGUGUAUAUAGUUUCCUUUGAGUCCCCUCUCAUUGUUCGUUGUUGUUCCCUGUUUUGUGUUUGCCAUUUUACUGUCUGCUGUGUUACUCUUUAUUGAGUUGUCCUGAGUUGGAUUAUUGCUGUAUUCAGUUUACUCUUGAUGGGACUCAUGCCUAAGUGCCCUUUUCUGUACAAUAAAUCAUGGAAUUGAG